rnacentral:misc_RNA from 1 species
CUUCCUUUAGAUGCUCUAAGCUGUAGGCAC